rnacentral:rRNA from 1 species
GUGCAAGGCAAUGUGAUGUUAUGGGGUGUGCCUAGGGUCACUGGUCAACUCGAAGUCCAAUAUUGAAUGUGGCUUUUGUAUAUAGCCCAAAGCGGGUGAUAGGCCCGUGCGAGUUGAUCGUCAGUCAUGUUGAGUGGCCUCUAGAUGCAUGCUCUAUGGAGUCGGAUUGCUUGAGAAUGCAGUCCAAAGUUGGUGGUAGACUCCAUCAAAGGCUAAAUACUGGCACGAGUCCGAUAGUAAACAAGUACCGUGAGGGAAAGUUGAAAAGUACUCUGAAGAGAGAGUAAAUAGUACGUGAAACCACAUACAGGUAAACGGAUGGAGUCCAGCCGCGUGCUCUGGGGACUUAGCUGGUGUGUGCUUGACAGAUGUUAUGAACUGCUACUUGUGGUUUGCCUAUAAUUGGCAAAUCAAGCUUCCGCUUGAUUCACGUCCGUAUUGUAGACGGUGUGGGCUACUUGUAGUGUCUGUUCGCAUGCCAGCGUCAUUCCUCAGAGCUGACAUCACAGUCAAUAUUGCUGCCGGUGUGUGGUGGUCAAACCGUGGAGCAGUGGGCCUUGAAGUUCACUCUCCGCGUGGAUGGCAGGUGGCCUGGUCAUUCGCCUUUGUGCGGUUGAUUGGGUUUAAUUUAUGGUUGCGGCCUGCCGAUCACCAUGCUGUUUGUAUUAACAUUUAACUGUGCAGUGUAUUGGUUAUGAGCUGUGUGCUUCAGCAACUCUGGUAUCAGGCUGGCUUGCGUUGGGCUAUCGGUAAAACGGUGCCUAAAGUGAGACUUCAGAAUGU